rnacentral:rRNA from 1 species
UACGUAGGGUGCAAGCGUUGUCCGGAAUCAUUGGGCGUAAAGAGCGCGUAGGCGGCCCUGUAAGUCCGCUGUGAAAGUCAAGGGCUCAACCCUUGAAUGCCGGUGGAUACUGCAGGGCUAGAGUCCGGAAGAGGCGAGUGGAAUUCCUGGUGUAGCGGUGAAAUGCGCAGAUAUCAGGAAGAACACCCGUGGCGAAGGCGGUUCUCUGGGACGGUACUGACGCUGAGACGCGAAAGCGUGGGGAGCGAACAGG